CAGUAGCUCUCCAGGAGCAGGGUUGGAGACCCCUGCAAGAACACAACACUCUCUCUCUGUUUGGUUGCUCUAGUCUUUGCCCACUCAUCAUCCUCCACCAAUCAGAACACUCGAGAACUCAUUGACCACAGCUGCUGGGAUUCAAAAGCUCUUGCAGCAGCUCAACACUGUUUUUUUUCUAAAGUGGUCGGAUCACAUCAGAGUGUGGUUAACUUUGCAGAUCAUCACUUAUAUCUACUCUUCCUCCCCUGCGUGUGAGGAAUUAACAGACUUCAGCAUCUGAUGGGAUUUCAGAUACGCCACAGAAUCCAAACCUCAGCAAUCCGGGCACGUAGUCUACAGGAGUUUGAUUGACAGGUGAUCUGACCAAUCAUAACACCGAAUCUGCCGGGACCAGACAGGAGAGAUUAACGC